rnacentral:misc_RNA from 1 species
UUGGUUUUUUUUUUGUUAUUUUCUGGAUCAAUUUCAGUGCUUGCUUUAUCUUGUCAUCCACUUUGAAACAGAGCAUGCUCUGUUCUGAUUCUCAAGUAUUAACAAGAAUUUUUGUAGGGGUUGGGAAAGAAAAGUAGCAAACUUGUUAAUCCCAAUGUAUUGAUGGGAAAUUUUUUAUCCUUGCUUGGUUUGUGCAAUUGGGUUUAUUUCAGUGGGGGAAUGGAAUAAUGCAGUUAUUUGAUAAACCAAUUUCUUUCAUAAUUAGGAGAUAGUUGGUAUUAUUUGUUAUUUAUGCCACCCAUAAUCAGUAUUUGAGGGAUAGUUGAUAAAACCCUAGUGAUGAUGGACUUACACUAUAAUGUUUUGAUGAUUGACUUUUAUUUCGCUUCAAUUUCUGAUUCUUUUACCCUUUUUCUAGUUUAUGGCAGCUGCUUUACUGCUAUCAAAAUUUGCAUAUUUUUGUUUGAAUAUUAUGUUCUUAUACUACAACUUUUGAUAAGCAUAAAAAACUGAAUGUUCAACCAUAUGUCUGGAUUCUGGAAGCAUGGGGCUGGCGCUUUUGAACUAAUGUAGGACAGAAUUGAAUGCCUAAUCUGGUGAAAUAUUAAGUGGCUGGCCCCCAAUUUCCAUGUAACUCAAAAUUUUCAAGCCAAUUUGAUGCUACCAAACCAAAAUCAACCAUUGUGAUUUAGAUGCGUUUCCUGCUUCUAAUUUAAUGAAAUUUAUAAACACUGUUUGAAGAGAGAGGCACAUGGAAAUUUAAGAUGCAUGCAUGGAUGGUUAGAUUUUAUCUUGCAGCAAUUUGCAAUUAGGCUUUAAGUUUGUCAUUGGAACUCUGUUUUGCAUUACAAUAGUUGGAGGACUGGCAAUAUUAGCAGAGAUUCAGAUUUCAAAUGUGCUAAGUGCAUCACAUGUAAUGGCUCUUGUACUAACAUAUUAUUGUUCCACUUCUUACAUUUUGUACUGUUCAGCUCUUGAGCUUGAAAGUAUGCCAUCAGAAUCGGAUAAGUGGGGAUGGGAACAUGUAAGUGUCUUUGGUGGAUUUGACCGGGGAAGUGGUACAAAAAGGUGGAAAUGUAAUCACUGCAAUCUAAGAUAUAACGGAUCUUAUUCACGUGUUAGGGCCCAUCUUCUUGGGUUCUCAGGUGUUGGGGUAAAAAGCUGCCCAGCAAUAGACAGGUCUCUGAGAGAAGCAUUUCAUAUUCUAGAGGAGGAGCGCCUUUCAAGAAAAAAGAAGAAGAAUUCUGCAAAUGGGAAGCCUGUUAAGCGCGUUAGAGCUUUGCAGCCAAGUCUUACCUGGAAGGCCAUCACCAAAGAAGAUGUAGAUGACAUAGUCGCUAGAUUUUUUUAUGCAGAUGGAUUAAGUAUUGAUGUUGUUAACUCAACUUACUUCCAUGGAAUGGUGAAAGCAAUUGGUGCUUUUGGGUCUGGAUAUGAACCACCAUCAAUAGAUAAGCUAUCUGAUUCCUUUUUAAGUAAAGAGAAAGGAAGGAUUGAAAAGUCGAUGGCUCUAGUGAGAGAGUCUUGGCCACAUACCGGGUGCACAAUAUUUUGUGUUGGUCGAUUAGAUGGUGCAUUAGGUAGCUUCCACAUUAAUAUAUUUGUCUCAAGUCCACGCGGGCUUAUAUUUUUGAAAGCAGUGGAUGUAGAUGAUAAUGGUGAAGGAGAUCACGUAUUUACUGGUGCCCUAAGUGAUUCAAUUAUGGAAGUUGGUCCAUCAAAUGUUCUUCAGAUUAUCUCACAUCUUGGUGAUGCCUGUAAAUCAUCUGAAUCAUAUAUAUUGUCAAAGUUCCCUAGUAUAUUUUGGUCUCCUUGCACUUCACAUUCUAUCCACAUGUUGAUGGAAGAAAUAGCUGAAUUGGAAUGGGUAAAACCUAUUGUCUUAUGUGCUAAGGCAAUUGAACACUGCAUGAUGACAUAUCAGCAUUCUUCUACAUGUCUUUUCAUUCAAAAUCUGAAGCAAAGCUCUGAUCCAAUAUCUGCCAAGUUUGCACCUUCCUAUUGCUUCAUCCAGAGGAUUUUUGAACUAAGGCAAGCUCUUCAAGAGGUGGUUGUUAGUGAAGAGUGGAAGCAGUGGAAGAACAAUGUUGCAGAGGAUGUUGAAAGUGUUGAAUCUGCCAUUUUAGGAGGUGAUUUCUGGAGCAAGGCGCAUCUGUUGUUGCAGUUAUACGAGCCAUUUGUAAGAUUACUAGCUACACUUGAUAUUGAUAAAUCUGUUAUUGGUGAUGUUUAUGAUUGGCGGGUUCAGGCACUUGAAACAUUGAGGAACAUGGCAAUUGAUGUUGACAUAUUGAAUCAAUUGGAAGGAAUGAUUGAGAACAAAUGGGAUGUACUAUUUUCCCCUCUUCAUGCUGCAGGCUAUAUACUGAAUCCGAGAUAUAUUGGAAAAUUUCAAACCAAAGAGAAAUCUGUAAUGCGGGGCUGGAAAGCUACUCUAGAAAGAUAUGAAGUUGAAAGUGCAGCCAGACGUGUUCUUAGAGAGCAGCUCAGCUCAUACUGGCAUCUAGAGGGAUCCUUAGGAGAAGAAGAUGCUGUGGAUUGCCGGGAUAAAAUGGACCCAGUUGCAUGGUGGGAGAACUUUGGUUUUGAAACGCCCAGCCUACAGACACUAGCCAUAAAGGUUCUGAGUCAGGUUUCAAGCGUUGCAAUGUGCCAAGAGAUAUGGCAAACUAAUGACGUUUUAUGUCAAGAAACAGCAAACAGGUUGGGAGUGCAAAGAGCGGAAGAUCUUCUUUUUGUUCGAAACAAUCUUAGACUUUAUUGUCAAAGAAAUGGUAGUUUAAGCUCCUCUCCUGGUCAGAGAAACGCUAUGUCAAGUUCUUCUGGAGUUAAGACGUGGGAUGGUUCCAAUCUUGAUCAAACAAAGGCAAUUUCAAGUAUCCAUGACAACUUGUGAUAUAGCCUCGCUGCUUAUUGCUGGAUGUUUUCAGGUCAGAAACUUGCUCAUCACUUUUGUGUGCAAUCAAGCUCAAAAGAAUUCCUACUUGAGGCCUGAUAUCAUGCGGUGGGCUGCAAGUGAGCUAUUGCAUUAGCCUUUGCCAUUUGCUAAUCAGGACGAUUAUUUCUGGAUGCUUUGACGUUAGUAGCUUACUAUGUACAUGUGUCAUGCAGAAAGCAUUCUCCAUUUGUAGUUUAAAUCAUUGGUACUUUGUAAAUAAAUUUCAGUUUAAAUAAUAUUUGUAAAUUGUCAUCAAUGUCAAUGUUAGUGACCUCAACAUUACAAAUGCUUCCUGCAAGAAUUUAUGAUUGCAAUCAAUGUACAUUCUUUUAUUGCUCGAAAACUG